GCUCCUCCUGGGCAGGAACCACCCGGCUCGGCGGCGGAGGGUGGGCCGCCGUCACCUGACCGCCCGCCCCCGCCCCCCGCGAGUAAGGGGCGGUGGUAGCGUCUGCUCGCUUACAAAUGGCCCCUCCCGCCCCGCUCGCCCGCUCGCUCGGGCUCGGCGCGGACCCGCCCGGGCGCACUCCUGCCGCCGGUUCCCAGUGUCCCGCCGCCCUGCCCGGAGCCGGCCGGCGGUCCCCGGCACCCAGCGCGGAGGCUCGCCCGUGGAGGUCGUGACGGGAGGCUGGACCGCGGUGGCGCGCGGCUCGCCUACCGUCAGGUGUUCCUUUGAUACAGUGGAUGGUGACUCUGCUCUUCUGCCUGCGAGUGGUUCAAAAUGUCUUCAGCAUCUGGAGGGAGUACCAAGGUGGGAGUUUUACAGUAAAUAUUGAAACCCCUCCUGCGAAGAUGAUAUGAGAGGCGGUUCCGCAAAGCAGCCCUGUCUGGCCAGAGAGCUUCUGGGCAUUUCCUAAGACUCAGUCUUCUGGGACUUCUUCCUGAUCAAAAGGAUUCUUCAAUUUCAAAAUCAAAGUAAAAUCUCUGGCAAAAAAACACCGAAAUCGAGUUGAGCAUCUCUGUCAGCAAAUUCCGCUUCCCAGAGAACUGUCUCUACAGGCAGAAACACAGGUGUGGCCAAGGAGGAGAAUUGCCGUUGUCACCAUUUUACGGAUGAGGAAACUGUCGGCUGAUCAUUGGAAGUCUGUCUCACUGACAUUUACCCUUCCACCCCAGGUACCCAGGAGGUCUCUGGAUUGAAGGAGGCUGGACAUCCUGUUUUGUAUCCAGAAUAAGGACGGAGAGGCUCAACAGUGCCUACAGAGAGGAGAAUGCAGACCCGUGGUGACAGAGGCCUUAGAACCUUGCAGGGGAACGUCCCCGGAGCUCCACGGCCGGGAAGUGAAGGAGGAAACAGGACUUUCAAAACAGAAAAAGUAGGUCUGCUGAGAACCAGAGCUGCCCAGUCAGGCCUCUGAGGCCUCAAUGCCAGUUUAAGGUUUUCAAACAACAACUUCUUUUCUUCCCUGAGAAAAACUGCUUGGGCAAGCUUCCCCAGUGUGCAUUUUUGUCUGACAAGAAAGCAUUUUGUCCUCUGUCAAUGGAAAUGCCAAGAACAAAGCAAGAGGGGCGUUGCCGGGAGGCAGUCAAAGCAGCUCCCCUGACCCAGGCGCUGGAGGCCCAGGCCCCCGGGUCUCAGGUGCGCCCAGAAGGACCCUCCCUGGGGCCUGGGCAGGCGGCAGGAGAGAAAACGUCAGUGACCGCAUGGACGCCUCGGCUCUGGUCAGUGGGUGAGGGGGCUUUGGGAGAAAAUGGAGACAGGUCUGUCUUGUUCAUUUAUUAAUAGGCAUUUGUCACACACCAGGUUAGGAAAUAAUCCUCCCAUUGUCAACGUGGCUUAAUCCUGCUCUUGUCAAUAUGUCUUCCGGGGUCUUGCAGGGAAGGGAGGUGCUUUCUCAAAAGAAAUCCUUUUCAGAGAUAAAUGCAGAUGUGCCUCUCUUGAUACAGUGGGCCUGUCCAUGCAAGGAAGUAUGUGCGUCUCCCACGUGAUAUUCAAGGCAUCAAGGAAAUGUGCUUUGUAACGGAGUCCUCGAUCUCUUGAAGAAGUCACUCCUUAGGUGGUUUCUGUAUAAAUAGAGGCUUCCGCCUACUGGGUUUCUUUAAAACAAGGGUUUUUUCCCCCUGCAUUUCGCUUGGUUCCUAAAAUAGUAACAAACAGCAUUAUUCAGGGAAGGUCAAGAAGCUGACAACCCUUUUGGAAGCUUUUAGUGCCACAAGCCUUAGCCUCCUCUGAUGAAUGCCUGUGGGAUUGUCACCUAUCAUCAUCCCUCACCCCCACACACACCCUCACAAGAAACCUAGGAACUGAGAUGCCCGCAGUGUUUUUAAAAAUUCAACAACCCUCAAGCGUUUUCAGUUUCAGCGAAGAAUUAGAAAAGCAGAGUCCAGAGAGCAGAGUCAAGAGCAGGUCUCUGUCGGUUGUAUGAAAUUGUCACGGUGAAAUCCUUUUGAGUAAAGAAACCCGGGUGCUUUCUAUUCCUCUGACGGGACACGAGUGCUGAGUGCAACCCUAGAACCACCGAAGAGGCCGGGAUUAGCCAACUUUUUUCGGUCUUUUUUUUUUUUUUUCUUCUUUUUAAUUAAUUGAUGUUAGAGUAGGGUUGCUUUACAAUAGCCAACUUUGAUUUGGCUAAAAAAGAACAGGAAACACACACACACUCACACACCCCUAACUAAGGCACCAAAUUCACGCAGUAGAAAGGAAGAAAUUAUAAACUCCCUCCACGGUGCUAAACAGCAUUCGCGGCAAAAGCGAAUGUUCUGACAGUGAAUCAACCACUGAAAAAAGCUUCCUGCAGCACAUGGCACAGAGCAGCCUCCUCAGACGUCGGGUGCUUAUUAUUGUGUUCCCAGCCCUUAUUUUCCUCCCACCCCUCCCCGCAGAAGACCGCACUCAGAUACAGCAAUCCAUCCCAAGGAGAAGCUUCGCCACUGAGAGAUGAAUCAUGAGCGGGGAUGUGUGAUUGAUCCUGCCGCCCGAAAAGCAGUGGGAAGCUGAGGCUGCCUUUUAUCCAGUAAGCAAAGUUCAGAGCUGUUUGCAUUCUGCCGGGUAAGCAGGGGUCUCUCAAGACCUGAGCUGCAUGGGCUGCACUCGGCAGGAAUUCUCGCCAAGGCAGUGCACAGGUGCGCCUGGGUGGACUCACCUGAGCCACAGAGGCCAGAGGGUCAGAACUGCUCAUUUUUGCAAAUAGCCUGAUUCCAUCAUGUUUUAAUUAGCAUGAAGUAUUGCAAACCCAUUCUGUUCAAGAUGUUGGCAAGUGAAAACCGGAUUAAGAUCUAUGCAGUAAGCUUAGGAUAUAUAGGGUUUUCCUAAUCACUAGAGAAAUGCUAGAGGCUGGAAUUUCCUAAUUUUUGCAGAGAAGGAGUCGAGGGGUUUCUUUUGGCCAUAUCCCGCCCCCCCCAAAAAAACCUAAUUACAGGAUUUAUAAAGAAUAAAAAUAAAAGGAAGGGGAAAAUACUGCAUUUGGCAUAGCUGUACAUUGGAACAAAUAAAUGCUAAAGGGAGUUGGUAAUUCAGGAGGUCCACCGUGGACUCAGACGCUCGGCAGAAGCAACGGCAUCACACCAAAGAUGUAUGAUGUAGCCUAGUGGCCUGGAGAGCCAGCAGCCCUGUGCUCAGACCACAGCUCUGCAGCCACUUUCUAGCUGCAACUCUCGGUAAGUUCAUCGUCAUUUCCGAGCCUCUAUUUUCAUUUUCCUUUUUCUUUUUUUUCCUUAAGUCACUUAGCACUUACAUUUCUCCAUUUCCUUAAAGUGGGAAAUCAGUAAACAGUACCGUCUCACCUCAACUGGAAUUCAACGAGAUAAUGAAUGUGGAGUAUCAAGCCUGAUAACAAGGACAAAGUAAGUUCUCAAGUUACUUUAUUAUUAGACUUUAUUAGAAGAUCUAGCAGGAUCCAGGAGUGUGUUCAGUGGCUGGGUUGCCAAGGAAAGCAUAUAAUACAGCUCUUCCCAGUUGGAAAAUUCUGUUCACAUCCGGGGCAAAAAUCCUGUCCUGACACAUCCAGUAUCAAAUAGGUUGAAUUCUCCACCCUCGAGGUCAUCACGAAAACGUCCGAGUGCUCACGUCAGAAUGCGCGUUCAGCGCUGUCCAAAUACCAGGGCAGUUUUAAACCUACACGUGCACACUGUCAUUUACAAACCACUCACACGUCUUAGCAGGGCUCAGACUAAAGGCUAAUGCACAGACUAAUGCGAAAAGGGCUAUGGGGAGCUGAGGACGUUUGGGGUAAGAAAUGAACCAGGGAGAACUAUGGUUUAACAACAGUGAGCGUGGCCUCAUCUCCUGAGCUUGUGUUGGAAGCCAGACCCUAUGCUACUUUCCACGCAUGAUCUCGCGUAAUUCUCACGACAUCUCCAUGCAAGCUGAGGGGCGACGAGGAGGCAGAUGGAUAGGGAAUGAAGAGGGAAACCUGGCACCUUGCGGGAGACUCCAUAACCAUAAUAGCCGUUACGGGGCCAUUACUGUGUUCUUAGCAGUGUGCCAAGCACCUCCCACGUGCUUAUUCACUUAGUCCUCACCUGCCAUGUAGAACCAAGUCCCGCCAUUUCUAGUGUCAGGAUCGUAAGUCUCAAAGGUUGACUACCUGGCCCAGAGUCACAUAGUAACAGGCUGGGACUCAGUCCCUGGGAAUCUAAUCACAGAUCCUGUGCUUGUCCACCUAGAACCCCUCUUCCUGCCCACCAGCGCUGCCAGGGGUAACACAGAGACCAGUGGUAGGGGGACAGGAAAGGGCUCCUCAAAGCCAGUUUCCUGUACUAGCCGGCAAAAGAGUGGAGUUUACAUCUGAAGACCCUAAAAGGUCCAUGUGGAAUUUGACCAUGUACUUCACAUGUGUGCUACAGUAAGCUGUAAAUGACAGAGUUUUGACGAUUUUCAGUCUGUGCUCACAUUAGCUUCCAUUUACCCAGUGCCUGCUCUGCGUGUGCCAGCACCUUUCUGAGUGAUUAGCAUGUAUUAAGUCCCUGAACCCUCAAAGCGAUCGUAUGCGGCAGGUUCUGCCCAUUCUACAGAUGAGGAAAGGACUUUGCCUGAGGUUGCAGAGGUAGAAGUGGUCCAGCCGGGGUUUGAACCUGGGCGAAUCUGGGUACAAGGCCACAGACUAGAAGAGCGAUACACCGUGGGGCCUGAGAUGCUUCUCCCCUGUGGCAGGUGGAUACCUGGCAAAGGUGUUUGCAGGUAAGGAUGCACCUCUUCUAAUAAUUCAUGUGAAUGAUUCCACUGGACGCUAAAAGUGGUGGCACCAGAAAUACCCGCUGAUACGGAUGCCCUCCAUUCAGUCAUCUUCAAGGCCCAGGGAAAAGCAGUCUUGAGCGGAUUUUCCUGUUUUAACCCUUCCCGUUUAGCACAGUCAGCUGACGGCUGGGUGAGGCUGCUGUAAAGAGUUUGGAGGCCCGCUGAGAGCCCCGACAUCCUUGUCUGAAAGACACUGGCAUUGGCAGCUGUCCAAGCACUGUGGCUGACUUUCAGACCAUUUAAUUGAAACCAUAUUUUUUAAAAGAAGGGAAGGGGUGGGUGCCAGAGCAGGAGAAAGAUCUUGGCAAAAAACCUUGUGUGUGCUGUUUCCACCAUCGGAUUGAGCAGACAGGGCCACAAAGCUGAUACAACAGGAUUAGCAAAAUUGCAUUGUUGGCCAUAGGCACGGCGUGACAUGUGCUACAGCGAAGGCAUUUGGCAGGAUUAACCUGCCAGGGAUAAAGAUACAGCAGACAAGGGGCAGAAUUAAUGGACUGGCAUGACCAAAGUGGGGAAAUCUAUUUACAUGCAAUAUUAACUGUGCUAAUAAACUCCGGGCUAGGCUCGGCAGGCCCGGCAGUCCUCUCUGAACCAGGAUUUUUUUAUUUUAAAGCCCACCUGGAGUCUUCCAGCGAAGAUGGGCUAACGCAAGCGGGCUUCCCAGGUUGCCUUUAGGCUCACGUUUGCCAUCGUCCUAGAAGAGUUGUGCCGUCUUACAUAACCGUAGCAGCAUUCUGACCAUGCAGAAUGAUCCUAAUGCCUCAGGGUUUUGGUGCCAAAGGGUCCUCCAUUUAGAGGGUGACUGUCUCCGAAAAACAAUGAAGAAACAUUAAGUACAACACACUCUACAAAAUACCUACUUGGAAUGGCUGGUUUUGCCUGAUUUGUGUAUUCUGAUUGCCUGAAAGUCAGGGCGAGACGAGGGUGAGCAAGGAGGACAGCCCAGGACAUAAAUUUUCAGAAGGUGCUCAUGGGUCCCGCUCCUAUAAGAGCAGGUUCAGCCUCUGAGUGAGUGCCUCACGCCCCUCACCCUGGUCCUGCUGAAAGUGACCGUGGGAAAAAUGUAAGAUACACCCAUUCAAAACGCACGUGCGCUUAAAUACACUCACACGGUCACUAAUGCACAGCUGAGUGUUGAGGGGAGGGCAGGGCCAGGAAGAGGCUGGGCAGGUGAGAGGGAAGGGAACCAAUAAAGAUGGAGUUAUCCUCCGGGUUACUGCUGUGGGCCGGUGGGGACCUCUGCCAGCCUAUGUGGGGCAGGAGAGCAGGUAUUUUUCCACCAGCUCCCAUGCAUCACUGAUGAGGGAUGUUGACUCCUUUUUUUUUUUUUUUUGCGGCAC